UACGUAGGGUGCGAGCGUUGUCCGGAAUUAUUGGGCGUAAAGAGCUCGUAGGCGGUUUGUCGCGUCGGAUGUGAAAGCCCGGGGCUUAACCCCGGGUCUGCAUUCGAUACGGGCAGACUAGAGUGUGGUAGGGGAGAUCGGAAUUCCUGGUGUAGCGGUGAAAUGCGCAGAUAUCAGGAGGAACACCGGUGGCGAAGGCGGAUCUCUGGGCCAUUACUGACGCUGAGGAGCGAAAGCGUGGGGAGCGAACAG
rnacentral:rRNA from 1 species